rnacentral:rRNA from 1 species
AAGGUUUGGCACCUCGAUGUCGGCUCAUCGCAUCCUGGGGCUGAAGCAGGUCCCAAGGGUUGGGCUGUUCGCCCAUUAAAGCGGUACGCGAGCUGGGUUCAGAACGUCGUGAGACAGUUCGGUCCCUAUCCUCUGCAGCCGGAGGUGAAUUGAGGAAAGCUGUCCCUAGUACGAGAGGACCGGGACGGACGCAGCUCUCGUGUGCCAGUUGUCCUGCCAAGGGCAUGGCUGGUUAGCGACCUGCGGAAAGGAUAACCGCUGAAAGCAUCUAAGCGGGAAGCCUCUUCCAAGAUGAAUUCACCCACAGGGUUAACCUGGUAAGGCCCGUGGUAGACCACCACGUUGAUAGGCCGGAAGUGUAAGCGUGGCAACACGUUCAGCUGACCGGUACUAAUCGGCCGAGGGCUUGAGUUC